UCAGUGAUCUCUGCAGGUGUCAGCACCAUGAUCUCAGUGAUUUCUGCAGGUUCAGUACCAUGAUCUCUGCAGGUGACAGCACCAUGAUUUCAAUGAUUUCUGCAGGUUCAGUACCAUGAUCUCUGCAGGUGACAGCACUAUGAUUUCAGUGAUCCCUGCAGGUGUCACAAUGAUCUCUGCCUGUCACAGCUGUUCUGGUGCUGCAGGAAUGCUGUGGGGCAGCAGAGCCCCCUGAGCUGCCCCCCGAGCCUGGCAGCCUGGCUGGCAGCCACAGCCCUGCUCCAGGGGCCCCCUCCUGCUCACCCCAGGUGAGGUGGGCACCAGACACCCCUUGGAGCCCCAGGGCUGGGUGUGGGGUGCUUCCCCUCCUGCAGGGUCUGCCUGGGCCACGGACAGUCCUGUGAGCUCAGUGCUCACUCCUCAGGGAAUCUUGGAGCUCCAGGGCUGGGAAAGGCUCUGAGGCCAAGCCCAGCUGGUGCCAUUGCUCCGUGGCAGCUCUGCCCCCCUGGUGCCUCUGGGUUCUGGUGGGGAAGUGUGAGGAGGUGGGGGAUGUUCUCACCAGGUGUUUUCCCAUUAAAACAGUUUGUGCCCAUGGAAAUUCCUGUGGGAGAAGAUGCUGCACUCGUGCCCCAGGUCCCUCCCAAGGUGAGGCUGUGCUGCUUCCUGGGCUCCUCACACUCCCCAGCAGGGAGGGGACAUCCUGGAAAUCCACACAGGUUCUGAGGGAAGUCUGUACCCAAAAGGUUUUUCAGCUCUUCAGCCUGGAACCCACGUCCUCCCCUCCAUUCCUUCUGGAGAAUGCAGAAAUUCCUCUCACAACUGAGGGCUCAACCAGCUCCACCUUCCAGGGCUGAAAUCCUGGAAACAGCCAAAGCCUCACCAAUCCAGCAGCACCAGUGUCACCCCUGCACGGCCACGUCACAGAUGUCACCUUGGGUCACCUGCCUGUGCCCCAGCAGGAAGCUUUGGGCUGAUGAUGACCCUUCCCAGUGUCAGGAGCAUCCCUGGCUGUUCAGGCAUUCCAGGCACUCAGAACUCACCUGGACAAAACCUUCAUCUCUGGAAUUCUUUUCUCCAUAAGCAACAUGAGAGGGUGAGGUUUUCCCAACGUGGGAAUGCAGCUGAUGGAAAUGAAGGGCGACUGUGCACAUGUAAUUCAAGGGAGAAGCUUUGGGGAAACAUCAGCCAGGGGAAGGAGGAAAAGAAAUUUGAAUUCAAUUGGAUUUUAGUAACUUCAGCUUAGGUUUGAAUCAUAUUUACGUGCUUCUCUCUCUCUCCUCUGUUUGCAAGUUUUAUUGCUCUGGCUCUGGUGUCCUGGAGGGAUGUGAAUUAGUGGGUUUGUUGUUGCUGAGAGGGAGGAACUGCAGCAGCAGGGAAUGAGAUCGUUCCCUGGAGCCCUGCACAGGAAAAGUGUGGAAAACCUGGAGCUGAACCCAGAGCCCAGGAGACACGAGCGGCCCCAGAACGGAUGUGGGCUGGGCCAGGAGCUGCCAACAGGAAGCUCCAGUCGAGGUUUGGAACUCAAUUAGCACGAGGGACGUGAUGGAAAUGGGGACAUUUUGGGUAAAAUCCUCCCUGCCUCGCACGAGGACCCAGGAGCUUUGCAGCUUUGCAGUUCUUGCUUCCAGCGCUGCCCAAAUGUGAGAAUUUUGUGCAGUUUCAGAGCCAGGAUGAAAGUGAGAAAUCAUUUAAGAGCCCGAGCUCCAGUGGGAGCACCAGCAGGAGCCGGAGUGAUGGAAGUGCCCCAAAUUGAGGGUGGUUUCAGGUGAUUGUUUUUAUUGUUGGUUGCAAGCUUCUGGUGAAAGCUUUUCUGAGUGAGUAUUUUGGGACGAGGGAAAGACUUCUCACAGGGCGAACCAAAGACGAAAUUACAGGUCUUUAACAAGAAGUGCACUGGUAAAUGAAAAAUGUGAUGUGGCACAGUAAAAAUGAGGCCAUUGUCCUGAAGUCUUUGUCCAUGUCCUUUAAAGUGUACUUUGGGGAUUAAUCAGCAAAUGAUUGUGGCACAGCAAUUUGGCUCAAGUGGGUUUUUGCUUAUAUUGCAGCCUUCAAUUACACACUCACUGCCAAUUAAAUAAUUUUAAAUAAUGCAGCUGUGAGACUUGCCUGGUGUGGCUCUUGGCUGGCCAGGGUUUGCUUCUUCGUGGUCCUGUUCCUGCAGCACAGCCACGUUCUCUGGAGGCCUCUCCUCUCCAAAGAGGGUGCAGAUUGCUGCUCCCUGUCAGUCCAUGGAAUCCAGAUCCAUGGAUUCCAUCUUCUGCAGACUCCAGACCCACGCUCCCACUGGCUCUGGAGCUCUCCCAGCACACAGGAAAGGACCAGGAGAAGGCAGUGACUCAAGAGAGACCCGACGUGGAGCCUUGGCCACAGGAGGAGCUGGGAUGGCUCUGCUCCCCUCAGGGAUGUACUCAUGGCCAUUUUUUCCUUCUGAUUUUUCAGACUGUGUUCACAGAACCACAGAAUGAUCACAGCUGAAAAAGAACAUCAACUCCAACCUUAAAUGCUCCUUAGAUUUGAACAAUCCACAAUUUCAUUGGUAUAGGGAUGGAAAGUUAACUCCAAAACACUCCAGUCUAGAGAAUUCCAGCCUAGUUCUGGUGGGGAUCAAGCAGAAUUUUCAAGGCUGAAAUGCCUUCAUCACUUCUGCCUCAUGAACACAGAAAAGGACAGAAAGUGAUGGUCAAGAUUCCCGUUUUGGGAGGGAAGGCUCUGCUUGCUGGCAGUGAGGCUGAAGGCAGUGUGCUGUGUUUCAAGAGGAUUGCCAGUGGUUGCUUUGAUUUCAGACCUCAGCACAUCCCAGCCCUGCCCACUGCCAAGCAGGGCUUGAUGGGAGUUGGUGAUUUACGGGACUGAAUUUGAAUUCCUGUUGAGGAUUCCUGCCUUGGCUGGAAGCACUAAAAGCUCCUGUGGCUCCCCAGAGCCAGGGCUGGGCAGGCUGUGCCCUCUGCAAGUGCUGGGGCUGCCUCGGGUGACCCCUGCUGCUGGAGCCUCGCUGGAAAUGGAAAAGUCCAGAGACACAGGAGGGCUUCCUCUGCCUAAGUGCUCUCAGGGCUUUGCCUGUCUUUUACUUGCUCCUCUCUGCUCCAAAAUGCCAUUUUUUUUUUUCUUUUUUUCCCCCUCAAAGAGCAUGAAAAGGAAAAUUGCUAAUGAGUCAAACCACCAGAAAAUCGAGGGGAUGUCUUGAGGACAUGGAUUUUCCCCCAUGGCUGUGGCAGAGCCAGCUCUGCCCUGCCCUCAUCAGCCAUCCCUAAUUAAAUUAACUGUCUGUAAUUAACACACAGCCCAGCACCACUCUUUUCAUUCAUCCUCUGCUUCUCCAAACUGAAUUGCUUUUAAUAAAAACCUUAUAAAAAGCAAUUUUAUUCUUGUCUGCUCACGCCAACCCUGAGCCAUCACUGGCGUGUCUGAAAUAUUCAGUUUGGCUGAAGCAGGGUUGGGCCUUGAGCUGAUGCAGGAACCAGGGAGGGAACACAGGACACCUUCUGAACUCAGAAAGAACCAUCAAGGUGGGGGAUUAACGAGGAAGGAGAGGAGCUCUCCAAGUUUAAUAGAAAAAUAAACAAUGGGUUUAGCCCUGCUGCAUGAACAUUGCAUUUCCCAGUAGUACAAGCUUGUUGGUAUCUGGGUCAAGAGAAAAAAAAGCUGCUAAAAUUAAGAAACACUUCUAAGUUUUGGGUUAUUAGAAGUGAGAGAGGUUCAGUGAGGAGUUCUGGAUUGUCAGUGGUGCAAAUGAGGUUUUCCUGACGGGAGGGUGAGUUUCUGUUUGACUUUUCCCUUAAAUAUUUGCAGGAAAAUUAAGGGCAGCGCUUUGGCUCUGCAAACAUUGCCCCCAGCUUUUCCUCUGCCAUUAGCAGGAGCAGUAUUUGCUGAGCUGAGCCUGUGACCCCAGGGCCAUGGCAGAGAGAGGGGCCAGGGGCGCUGCCCUGAGCAGAGGGCUGCCGUGGGGAGAGCAGGAGCUCAGCUCUGGCUGCUCCAGCAGCACUAGAUGGGGAAGGGGCCGUGGUGGGCCUGCUCUGGAGAAAUGCACCAGUGCUGGGGGAGAGGUGCUUUCACCCAGGGCCUCCUGCUUGUGCCUUCUGGCUGGCAUGGGCUCGUUUCUUCUCCUGUCUGCCUUGGGGCUGCCCAGGGCUCUUGUUGCUCUUGCUGUCCAAGCCUGGUGCUUGCCCUUGCUGGCACUGCUCAGAUUUACAUUUGGAAUCUGAUAUCCAUGGCAAUCUGCAGAGACCCUUUGAAUUUUUGCAAGCCCUCAUUGAAAGGACAGGUAGUUAGUUCUCCCCCGUGGCAGAGCUCACAUCCCUUGCUGAGGAGCUGCUGUGAGGGACACUGCUCCCUCUGGACUCCAGGUCCCUGAGGAAGCCCUGCCCUGCACUGGGGCUGCCUUUGCUUGGGCUGGGAGCUGGAAACUCCCCAUCACAGCUGCCCAGGCUGCACCAGUGCCAGGCCUGGCUUUUCCCAGGAAUCCCAGGUUUCCCACCUGCUGGGGAGCAGGGAGAGCAAUGCAGAGGGAUUUCCAAGAGCCCCUGCAAGGCCCAGCUCCCUCGGUUUGCCGUGGAUCUCUGUGAUUCAUUAGUCAGAAAUUCCAUCCUAUCUUGUACCAUCCCUCACGAACCUCAGCUCCAGUCUCUUCCCUUCUCAGAGCUGUCUGGUGAAUAACAAACCCCACAUUGUUCUUGUGUGUGUGUUCUUCUGAAUUUAUUUCAUGUCAUCUUACAGGAUAGGAGAAAAAAAAUGCAGCUCCUCUCACUUUGCCCCUUUGGGACAGCAGCCACAGAUGAAGAGCGAGCAAUCAACGUGUCAGGAUAAAAUUAGAUUGCCAGGGAGCACAGGCUUUGAUCCAGGAUCUGUAUCAGAUCUGGGCUUCAGCCCUGCACAUCACAGUAA